UCGGGAAUUUUGGGCAAUGGGCGAAAGCCUGACCCAGCAACGCCGCGUGAGUGAAGAAGGCCUUCGGGUUGUAAAGCUCUUUUACCAGGGACGAUAAUGACGGUACCUGGAGAAUAAGCCCCGGCAAACUUCGUGCCAGCAGCCGCGGUAAUACGAAGGGGGCUAGCGUUGUUCGGAAUUACUGGGCGUAAAGCGCACGUAGGCGGAUUGUUAAGUCAGAGGUGAAAUCCCGGAGCUCAACUUCGGAACUGCCUUUGAUACUGGCAAUCUAGAGUCCGGAAGAGGUUAGUGGAAUUCCCAGUGUAGAGGUGAAAUUCGUAGAUAUUGGGAAGAACACCAGUGGCGAAGGCGGCUAACUGGUCCGGUACUGACGCUGAGGUGCGAAAGCGUGGGGAGCAAACAGGAUUAGAUACCCCCGUAGUCCCUGAGCGGGCUGGCAAGGCGCAU
rnacentral:rRNA from 1 species